AGUGGCUACACUAAAACUUAUCUUGAAAAUAAGAAAAGGGCAGUAAACCGCCCAGCCUCUU
rnacentral:tRNA from 1 species